UCCAGAAUUUUGUUUUUUUUUCUCUCCACUGAUGAAUGAUAAUAAACAUCAUUUUUUUUCUCUCUCUUUCUCUUUAUCAAUCCGCAAAUUGUGACAAAAUUGCCUACACACAAAAAUCUAUAAUUGGCCAUAAUAAUCUACGGUGAUGAUGAUGAAACUUUUGGUUUCUUCUGGAAGAUCCUACGACGAAAGGAAAAAAUUAUUUAUUAAAUUAACAAAUUCAAUCAACAAGAAAAAAAAAAAUGAAAAAAACUGAUAGUGUGACAUUGUUCUUUCCAUUAUUAUUACCAUUGUCCACACACACUGGUCUUUUAAUUUGAUAUAAUUAUAUUCUUGCUUGUGGCCGUUGUUGUUCACACAACUAACUAGAGAGAAAGUCAUCCGAAUGAAAAAAUAAUUCUCCAUCAUUGAUUGUGGUGGUGAUGAUGAUGAUGAUGAUGAUAAUAGUAGUAGUGAGCCAACAAUGUUGUGGCCAUAUAAACUUGGUUAAUUUUGUUGAUUGAAAUCAAAUCUAUUAUUUGAAGAAGAGAAUGGUGGAAAAAAUACACAAAAUUCAUUUCAUUUUCAAUUCGACAAUUCAAUCCAUCCAUCUAAUAUAUGAAGACGAAAAACAAAGUCUCAAAUUGUUCACUCAUCCAUAAUUAUAGCGGAAAAGUGUAAAUUUUGGAACCUAAGCACAACGGAACUGAAAUACAGAAGAAAGACAGUGAUGUAGUUCAACACUGUUUUUUAUGACAUCAAUGAAAAGAAAGCAUCAAGAAAAGAAAAAUGAACUGGAAAAUCAAAAACAAAAAAAAAAAUUUUUUUUUUUUUUUUUUUUGGACAUUCUGUCCAAAUUGGAUAAUGUACAAAUGUGUUUGUGAUCAUCACACACACACACCUACAUAUGAAAGAAAGCUGUUGAUAACGAAAAAUCUCUGAAAAAAUUUACUUUUUCAAUUUCGAAUAAAUAUGUGUGUGUGUGUGUGUGUGUCAACCGAACGAACAAACGAAGAAUAAUCAUUAAGUUUUUCUUUCUUUCUUUCUUUCUUGAUAACACAAAAGACAUCCGUCUUUUUUUCUUGGUUGACGGAUGUAUUUCCGUUGUCACUGAUAUUUUUUUUUAUAUUCAAGCACGAAAAUAAAAGCCAUAAUUUUACCUAUUUUUUCCAUAAUAGAAUGCAAUAAUGGAAUAACGGGUAUCAUACCAUUGCCGGCGAGAAUGAGAUAGCGAUAAAAUCAAAAAAUUCAACUGGAACCAUAUAUAUGAAUAUUAAGCGAAAAAAACUAUUCGAUAAUGACUGAUCGGAAAAAAGGAAGAAAAAAUCGAUUCACAAAGGUGGACGACUUGGAAAAAUUCAAAUGGAAAUUCAUCAUAACGGAAGAAAAAAAAUGAUAAAAAUAAUUGACUAUGAGAGCGAAUAAGAAUUUAUGUAAAUCAUCAUCAUCAUCAUCACGGUCGUCAUUCUAUUACGAAAUAAUAUUCUACUUUUUUUCCUACAAUCAAGCUAAAUUCAUUUCCAUUAUCAUCAUAAUCAUUGUUGAUGAUUGACGAUGACAAAAACGACGAUUAUCACCUCUUUUCAUCAUCACCAUCUCUCUCUCUCUCUCUCUCUUGGUUAUACUACAGAAGAUGAUCGCAAUUGAUGAAGUGAUGAUGGAAUCAACAAAAAAAAACAACUUUAUUUUAAAUGGAAAUCAUAAUGAUAAUGAUAAUGAUGAAAAUGAAUCGUACGAAUAAAUAAUUUUUUUUUCAUUUUACCAUCAUCAUCAUCUUCCAUUUUCAAGAGAAAAAGUAUUACAUUCCUAAUAGUUUUUUUGUUGUUGUUCCAACAACAACAAAAAUUGUCAUUUCAAACGGCUACGAUGAUUAUGAUGAUGACGAUGACGAUGAUGACAAUAAAUUUAUGAAUCACUGAAUUGUCGCCAUCAUUAUCAUCAUCGUCAACAACGAAGACGACAACGGUAAUGUGAAAAUGUAGAAAAUGGAUUUGUCAACAAGAUUUUUGAAAAUGAUAUAUUCGUUAUAUAUCAUCACAUAUACAAUGUAGAAAAUAUUGUUUUGAACAACAACAACAAAAAAUGAUAUUCUUUUCUAUAUUCAAAAAACCACCCACCCUCGUCUAUCCCUUGUGACAUAAAUACACAGUGAUGAUGAAUAUAUUGUUGUUACAUAAGAA